CUAUUCUCUCAUUAUGACACCAACAUUCCAAAGGAACUGAUAUUUGCAAAACGCUUCUGAUGGGUUAGAAUUCUCUUCACAUCACGUUGGCAUUGGAAAAAGUAAAUGUGCCGCUAAUUAGAAUCCGUAGCAUAGCAAAUCUUUCACAGGUUUCUACGCAAGACAAGACAGACAAAAAGCGUGGAAACCGGCGCUACACAAGUUCAUCAAGAUUUGUGACACCCGAGGUGAUGCUUUCCUCUCCGGCGUGAUGGAAGAUGACAGCCCAAGGAACGGAAAACAAAGUGCGUGGGAGGGAAGAAGAAGAAGAAGGCCCUCCUCUGGGCCCUCUCACUGCCUGACUGUUUUUUCAGGGGUUGCCAGGGUUUUUGUGUUUAAUUUUAUUUCUACAAUGUGAAACCGGUCAACAAAAAUUAAAGUGCAGGCCCUGGGACUGCCC